CCCCCCACAAAAAAAAAAAAGCACAUACCCACACCGGGACGUCCAUUGUUUGAGAUUAAGGGAAAGGAGUGCAUCGUGUGAAUCAACACAAUAAAAUCUUUAAAAUCUUCCCUCAUUUAACUCAUGCAACUCCAGAAGAACUCUAAAACCCAAAUUUUUAUCCUGCAUAUGUUGCACAAAUUUAUGCACAACUCAAAACCCACUGCACAUGCAUGUCCAAUAUAACACUUUACCCUUUUCCCAAACAACUAAAUAAACCUUGACAGAGUCCUGAUCAUCUCAUACUUUCUCCAAAACCCCAGAGAUUUUGAGAACCAAUCUUUUUGUAUGUAAUCUGGGGUGCAAUCUAUCCAAUAGUGCAUUUUGUCUAAUGUGUUUAAACAUGAAUUCCAGUAAAUUAAGCCCCUCUUUUAACUCAGUUCUAUAGAAGACAAGAAAUACAAGUGAAACACAUGACAUCAAGCAAAAACUAGACAUGUAAUACAAGUUUUGUCACAAAGGAGCCUAUAUAAGUGGAGAAUGCAAAAAAUAAAAUUCUAAAAAGGGUAACCUUUUCAUUUUCCUUGAAAGAAAAUUAAAAGAAAGAAUUAACAGAAA
rnacentral:misc_RNA from 1 species